UUCUGGGUCAGAGGUCAUGAGCUCUGAGGUUCCUCAGGUGUUUCCUGCAUAAAAAUGCCCUUUUACCUGCCUAUAAAAACCUGGGUAUUGGAUUUCAUGGUCUCUGCCUUCAAGUAAGGAAGGAUGAUGCCCGCUCACCACUUUGGCAGCCAUUUUGUUCAAGUGUUCAUGGGUGUCUCAGCCUCGUCCACCAGAUAGAUGUGCCUGAAAUCUUUGCUCUGAAGAGAUGUGCCACGGUGGUGGGAAAAGAAAUCCAAACAAGCACCAGUGGAGUAUUCCAGGCUGUCAGAGGUCGCUGAGGUAGAAAGAAUGAACGUGAUGCCCUGUGCCUCUCUACAGUAGGAAACUAAUAGGACCAAGAGUUAACAUGCUCUGAGGACAGUGCCGUAUUCUGAGUCAAAGAAACUAAGACCCAGAGAAAGAAAACAUCUUGGCCAAGGAUCCAGUCAUUGGCGAAACUGAUACUCAUAUCCAUUUACAUAGAAUACUGCCCCAGAGAAACAGGCAGCAGCCAUCAGCAUUGAGACAAAGCCAUCCAUAAACAAAAAGAUUACAACUCCUUGGAAGCUCAGAUGAUUAGUAUUUUUUAGCAGUAUUUUAAAAUUAAGCGCAAUGACGCGAUGAGCUCCAUAAUGUCUUAGGUCUUGCAUGGCCCUCUACGUGGCAGCUGAUUUUCACUCUUGCUUCUCUGACAUUCUCCUGGGAAGGCCACUAGCCACUCAGCCUGCACUUUACAUCACCCUGAAGCUGUUCCAUGAGGCUUUGCAGCAGCCGAGGCACUGUCACCUGUGUACCCUGUUUAGUUUUGUCAGAGUUGAACCACAAGAAUAUACAAUAAUGGGAGAGAGACCAAAGAGUUAAACCUUAUUCAGACUGAGCAAAGCGCCUUCUGGGAAGCUGGUUCACUGGCUAAGAAUACUCUAUGUCCUAUACAUGAUACUCUAUGUACUCUACUCAUUGUACAUAAGGAAACAGGUUUUUUUGUAGGUCAAAAAGGUUGAAUGUUGGUAAUUUCAUAUGCUUCACCGUAUAAUUAUACUCUGACUUGCUAUAAUGGAUUGAUAGAGUCUCUAUUUUUAAUAAAAAUAUUUCUGUGCUAUA